CAGUAGCCGCGGUAAUACGUAGGUGGCGAGCGUUGUCCGGAUUUAUUGGGAGUAAAGGGAGUGUAGGCUGUCUUUUAAGUCUGAUGUGAAAGCCCACGGCUCAACCGUGGAGGGUCAUUGGAAACUGGGAGACUUGAGUGCAGAAGAGGAGAGCGGAAUUCCAUGUGUAGCGGUGAAAUGCGUUGAGAUCGGAAAGAACACCAACGGCGAAAGCACUCUGCUGGGCCGACACUGACACUGAGAGACGAAAGCUAGGGGAGCAAAUGGGAUUAGAUACCCCGGUAGUCCCUGUCUCUUAUAC
rnacentral:rRNA from 1 species